AGGUUUUAGCCAGAGGUGUUGAUUGUGAUAUAGCUUUGCUUUCAGUAGAAAGUGAUGAAUUCUGGAGAGAUGUGGAACCUCUCAGAUUAGGACGAUUGCCGCAUCUUCAGGAUUCUGUUACUGUGGUGGGAUAUCCACUUGGAGGAGACACAAUUUCAGUGACAAAGGGAGUUGUAUCUCGCAUUGAGGUCACAUCAUAUGCUCAUGGAUCG